UCCACGCCCUAAACGAUGAUUACUCGAAGUGUGCGAUACACAGCACGCCUCUGAGCGAAAGCAUUAAGUAAUCCACNUGGGAAGUACGACCGCCAAGNUUGAAACUCAAAGGAAUUGACGGGGGCCCGCACAAGCGGAGGAGCAUGUGGUUUAAUUCGAUGAUACGCGAGGAACCUUACCUGGGCUUGAAAGUUAGUGAAUGCCGUAGAAACAUGGCAGCAAGCAAUUGCACGAAACUAGGUGCUGCAUGGCUGUCGUCAGCUCGUGCCCGUGAGGUGUUGGGUUAAGUCCCGUAACGAGCGCAACCCCUAUCAUUAGUUGCCAACAGGUCAUGCUGGGGACUCUAAUGAGACUGCCCGCGCAAGCGGUGAGGAAGGUGGGGAUGACGUCAAGUCAUCACGGCCCUUACGUCCCAGGGCUACACACGUGCUACAAUGGUCGGUACAAUGGGCAGCCACAUGGCAACAUGGAGCUAAUCCUUAAAACCGGUCUCAGUUCGGAUUGAGGUCUGCAACUCGACCUCAUGAAGCUGGAUUCGCUAGUAAUCGUACAUCAGCAAUGGUACGGUGAAUACGUUCCCGGGCCUUGUACACACCGCCCGUCAAGNCCAUGGAAGCUGGGGGUACCUGAAGUACGUAACCGCAAGGAGCGUCCUAGGGUAAAACUGGUAACUGGGGCUAAGUCGUAANCAAGGUACC
rnacentral:rRNA from 1 species